CGUUGUUCGAGGCGUUAGUUCAGCUGUCUGUUGAAUCCCCUGAAACUAAUGCUCAGUCUAUAUUAAUGUCUCAGUCCCGAGAAACCUCAGCCUAUUCUCUCCUAUAAUUAAUCUUGCAGGUGGUGCCUUGACAUUAUUGGUUCACCAACAGAGCAGAACUGCCUCAGCCAUCAAUAAUAAUUCAACGCAUCAGGAUGAGGCCUACGCAUGGGCCACAGAGGAUAUGUAAUGACUUAAGAUACCAACUCCACAUUCUGUGGUAAGAGAUGAAGAUCCAGGAAAUGUAUGGACACCUAUAGCCUGAAGAAUAUUGUCAGAAAAAAACACUGGGAUCUGGAAGCGAAAAGGAAACAUAGAAAACGAGACAGGAAGGUGAAGAAAGUUGAAGAUAAACUUUCUUUUUCACAAUGUUUUUAUGGACAAGUUCAGCCCAUAAAUCAAAAAUUACCUUUAUGGAUGAAAUAUUAGUU
rnacentral:lncRNA from 1 species